rnacentral:rRNA from 1 species
UUGAAGUGCGCCUUCAUGGUCUCGUCAGGCAAAUUCCUAGGGUUUGUCAUUCGACAUCGGGGAAUAGAAAUCGACCCGAGUAAAAUCAAGGCCAUACUCGAAAUGCCUCCUCCUCAAAACCUUAAGGAGCUGCGUUCGCUUCAAGGGCGCCUGGCAUACAUCAGGCGAUUCAUAGCCAAUUUUGCAGGAAGAAUCCAACCUUUUACAAGAAAAACCAAAAAAGACAUUCCAUUCUUUUGGGAUGAAAACUGCCAACAAGCCCUAGAUGGCAUCAAAAGCUAUCUCCUCAAUCCGCCAGUCCUGGCUGCGCCGAUACCAGGGAAGGAGCUUAUACUCUACACCACGGCCUUGGAUGAAUCUCUUGGGGCUCUAUUGGAACAAGAAAAUGAAAACGGGAAAGAGAAUGCCCUCUAUUACCUCAGUCGUGUGCUCGUAGGA